rnacentral:rRNA from 1 species
GUGAGGAAUUUUCCGCAAUGGGCGAAAGCCUGACGGGGCAAUGCCGCGUGAAGGAUGAAGGCCUAUGGGUUGUAAACUUCUUUUCUCAGAAAAGAAUUAUGACGGUAUCUGAGGAAUAAGCAUCGGCUAACUCUGUGCCAGCAGCCGCGGUAAGACAGAGGAUGCAAGCGUUAUCCGGAAUGAUUGGGCGUAAAGCGUCUGUAGGUUGUUUAAAAAGUAUUCUGUCAAAGAUUAGGGCUUAACCCUAGAUAGGCAGAAUAAACUUUUAAGCUAGAGUUUGGUAGAGGCAGAGGGAAUUCCCGGUGGAGCGGUGAAAUGCGUAGAUAUCGGGAGGAACACCAAAGGCGAAGGCACUCUGCUGGGCCAAUACUAACACUGAGAGACGAAAGCGAGGGGAGCAAAUGGGAUUAGAUACCCCAGUAGUCC